CACCCCAAUAAUCCCACAUCGGAUGAGAAUGGGAUUGUCAUUGGAUUUAUAAGAGACUUAGACACUAGUAAUAAUAACUGGGCUUAAGCAUUUUGGGCCGGUGGUUGGGCCUAACGAGUUAUUAUUGCUAGUGGGCUGGGUCGUUACAUUUGGUAUCAGAGCCGGUUCACCAGCUGGACAUGUGUGGCGAGUUUCGGCUGAGCCAGGGUCUAGAAGACGGGUUAGCGAGACGAGUCUCACAUCGCCUGGUGAUCUUGGGCUGUGUGUGUGAUUGAACUGACGAGGACGUCAGGGCCUUAAUGUGGGGAGUCUGUGACACCCCAAUAAUCCCACAUCGGAUGGAAAUGGGAUUGUCAUUGGGUUUAUAAGAGACUUAGACACUAGUAGUAAUAAUUGGGCUUAAGCAUUUUGAGCCGGUGGUUGGGCCCAACAAGUUAUUAUUGCUAGUGGGCUGGGUCGUUACAUGAAUUUUAUUUUACAAGUUUAUCCUAUAAAGCUAUUUAUUUUGUUUCCAUUAUGUAACAACAAUUCCUUCGUACUUUUUAUCAAACAGAAUAUGAAGUACACCUGCAAAGCUAAAAUUACUGAAAUCGAUACAUCCUUUUGUGACACCCCAAUUGUCCCACAUCGGAUGGAAAUAGGGUUGUCAUUGGGUUUAUAAGAGACUUAGACACUAGUAAUAAUAACUCGGCUUAAGCAUUUUGGGCCGGUGGUUUGGGCCCAACGAGUUAUUAUUGCUAGUGGGUCGGGUCGUUACAUUUGGUAUCAGAACCAAUUCACUAGCCGGAAAUGUGUGGCGAGUCUCGGCUGAACCAGGGUCUGAAAGACAAGAUGGUAGACUAUACCGGAGUCUGAAUGACAAGGUGACCGGCUAAGUCAGGGUCUGGAUGACAAGGCUAGUGAGACGAGUCUCACAUCGCCUGAUGAUCUUAGACUGUGUGUGUGA
rnacentral:lncRNA from 1 species